rnacentral:rRNA from 1 species
ACCCGGGCGGCGGACAGGGCUAAGUGGGCAGUUUGACUGGGGCGGUCACCUCCUAAAAGGUAACGGAGGUGCACAAAGGUUCCCUCAGUGUGUAUGGAAAUCACACGUCGAGUGUAAAGGUAUAAGGGAGCUUGACUGCGAGACAUACAGGUCGAGCAGGUGCGAAAGCAGGUCUUAGUGAUCCGGCGGUUCUGUAUGGAAAGGCCGUCGCUCAACGGAUAAAAGCUACUCCGGG